CCUCGAUACAGAUUUGCGGAGGUAGAGCACUGAAUUUCCUAGGGGGCGUCAAAGCCUACCGAAGAAUAUCAAACUCCGAAUGCCGCGUAAUCGAUUAUCGGGAGUCAGACUGCACGAGAUAAGUUGGGCGGUCAAAAGGGAAAGAGCCCAGACCUUCAGUUAAGGUCCCCAAGUGCGCGUUAAGUGGAAAAGGAUGUGGGAUUUCGAAGACAACCAGGAUGUUGGCUCAGAAGCAGCCAUCCAUUCAAAGAGUGCGUAAUAGCUCACUGGUCGAGAGGUCCUGCGCCGAAAAUGUCCGGGGCUGAAACGCGCCACCGAAACUAAGGAACCGAAAGGUUGGUAGAGGAGCAUUGCAUGCGGAACGAAGCAGUACCGUAAGGAGCUGUGGACUGCAUGGAAGAGAGAAUGCCGGAAUGAGUAGCGAGAUAGAGGUGGGAAUCCUCUAGGCCGAAUAUCCAAGGUUUCCAGAGUAAAGCUGAUCUGCUCUGGGUAAGUCGGGGCCUAAGGCGAGGACGAGAGUCGUAGCCGAUGGACAACAGGUGGAGAUUCCUGUACUGCGGUAUGACAGAACUGUGGGGACACGUAAGGAAAGCGGAAGCCGGGAAUGGAUAGCCCGGUGCAAGCGGGGUACCAGUCACUUUGGCAAAUCCGGGUGGCAAUGGGAAGCCGUGAUGCGGAGCGAAAUAAAGUAGUGAAGUCCGUGAGCCAUGCGUCAAGAAAAGCCGCUAUCGUUUAUACCGUACCCGUACCGUAAACCGACACAGGUGGAUGAGGAGAGAAUCCUAAGGCCGGCGGAAGAAGCAUUGUCAAGGAACUCGGCAAAAUGGCCCCGUAACUUAGGGAUAAGGGGUGCCUGGGAAACCAGGCCGCAGAGAAUAGGCUCAAGCAACUGUUUAGCAAAAACACAGGUCUAUGCGAAACCGAAAGGUGAGGUAUAUGGGCUGACGCCUGCCCGGUGCUGGAAGGUUAAGAGGAGAGGUUAGCGCAAGCGAAGCUUUGAAUUUAAGCCCCAGUAAACGGCGGCCGUAACUAUAACGGUCCUAAGGUAGCGAAAUUCCUUGUCGGGUAAGUUCCGACCCGCACGAAAGGCGUAAUGAUUUGAGCGCUGUCUCGACAAUGCAUCCGGUGAAAUUGAAGUACCAGUGAAGAUGCUGGUUACCUGCGCCAGGACGGAAAGACCCCAUGGAGCUUUACUCCAGUCUGGUACUGGGACUCGGUAUUGCAUGUACAGGAUAGGUGGGAGGCUAGGAGAUGGUAACGCCAGUUGCCAUGGAGCCGCUGUUGGGAUACCACCCUUGCAGUAUUGGGUUUCUAACCAGCCGCCGUGACCCGGCGGUGGGACAAUGCCAGACGGGGAGUUUGACUGGGGCGGUCGCCUCCGAAAGGGUAUCGGAGGCGCCCAAAGGUUCCCUCAGAAUGGACGGAAACCAUUCGAAGAGUGCAAAGGCAGAAGGGAGCUUGACUGCGACACCGACGGGUGGAGCAGGUACGAAAGUAGGGCUUAGUGAUCCGGUGGUAUUAAGUGGGAAUGCCAUCGCUCAACGGAUAAAAGCUACCCUGGGGAUAACAGGCUUAUCACUCCCAAGAGUUCACAUCGACGGAGUGGUUUGGCACCUCGAUGUCGGCUCAUCGCAUCCUGGGGCUGAAGUAGGUCCCAAGGGUUGGGCUGUUCGCCCAUUAAAGCGGUACGCGAGCUGGGUUCAGAACGUCGUGAGACAGUUCGGUCCCUAUCCGGCGUGGGCGUAGGAUAUCUGAGAGGAGCUGUCCUUAGUACGAGAGGACCGGGAUGGACGGGCCGCUGGUGCAUCGGUUAGACUGCCAAGUCUACGGCCGAGUAGCCAAGCCCGGAAGGGAUAAACGCUGAAGGCAUCUAAGCGUGAAGCCCCCCUUAAGAUGAGAUAUCCCAUUCGAAAGAAGUAAACCCCCUUGA
rnacentral:rRNA from 1 species